rnacentral:rRNA from 1 species
CCUACGGGUGGCAGCAGUAGGGAAUUUUCGGCAAUGGGGGGAACCCUGAACGAGCAACGCCGCGUGAACGAAGAAGUUACUCGUAAUGUAAAGCUCUUUUUACAGGGAAGAAAGAGAAAUUUGACGGUACCUGAAGAAUAAGCACCGGCUAAAUACGUGCCAGCAGACGCGGUAAUACGUAGGGAGCGAGAGUUAUCCGGCAUUAUUGGGCGUAAAGGGUGCGUAGAUGGCAUGGUAAGUCUUUUGUAAAAAUGCUGGGCUCAACCCAGAAGCGCAAACGAUACUGCAAAGCUAGAGUGUGACAGAUGCAGGUGGAACGACAGGUGUAGCGGUGAAAUGCGUAGAUAUAUGGAAGAACACCAAUGGCGAAGGCGGCUUUCUGGGUCGAUACUGACAUUGAGGCACGAAAGCGUGGGGAUCAAACAGGAUUAGAUACCCUAGUAGUC